rnacentral:sRNA from 1 species
AGUAAUGCCAUCGAAAUGUAUGCAUAUAUUUUUGGGUAUGAUAAUUUGGUUUAAUUUUUAUAUUUCUACUUUUAUUUGAUUUUUAGAAAAUGGUAAAAUGAUUGAAUAAUAUUCAAAUUUCAUAUUAAGGAAUAUUUUCAUAUGAUAAAAAUAAAAAAGGAAAAAUGAAUCAUUUUUUAAUGUAAAACAACUAUGUAUAUGACAGUUUCAUAGGAGAUGUCAGAGAAACAAAGGGGGAAUUAUAUGGUACGACCAAUGUUUUCUUGUUAUUUCUACGAUCAAACCCCAACUCCCAAGGAAGAUUGAUUUCAAAAACACUUUCUCAAUGCACAACCCAAACAACGUGAGCAGUGAACCAGGAUCGUUUGACAAGAUGACAAGGGAUUUCCUCUACAAGCUGGUGCAGAAAGCCUCUUAUCCAACCGUGGUCGAACACCAGUCUACAUAUUAUGCUGCGGGGGAGAAAAAACUCGGGAAAAGGAAGCUGUAUGCAAUGAUGCAGUGUGCAUCGGACAUAUUGCAAUGUAAGGUUUGUUUGGAAUGGUGUAUCAGAGAGCUUCCCAAGUGUUGUGAUGGUAAACAAGGAGGGAGAAUUUUGGGUAUGAGUUGUAAUCUUAGGUAUGAGCUAUACCCUUUUCUUCGGCGUUAAAAGACCGUUUGAUGUUGAUACAUAACACAUUAACUUGACAACUUUCCCAAUUUUUUUUUUUUU